UACGAAGGGGGGCUAGCGUUGCUCGGAAUUACUGGGCGUAAAGGGCGCGUAGGCGGAUGUUUAAGUCAGAGGUGAAAGCCCAGGGCUCAACCUUGGAACUGCCUUUGAUACUGGGCAUCUUGAGUAUGGGAGAGGUGAGUGGAACUCCGAGUGUAGAGGUGAAAUUCGUAGAUAUUCGGAAGAACACCAGUGGCGAAGGCGACUCACUGGCCCAUUACUGACGCUGAGGCGCGAAAGCGUGGGGGAGCAAACAGG
rnacentral:rRNA from 1 species